rnacentral:rRNA from 1 species
AUUGAACGCUGGCGGAAUGCUUUACACAUGCAAGUCGAGCGGCAGCGCGGGGCAACCUGGCGGCGAGCGGCGAACGGGUGAGUAAUGCAUCGGAACAUGUCCAUGUCGUGGGGGAUAGCCCGGCGAAAGCCGGAUUAAUACCGCAUACGUCCGAGAGGAGAAAGUGGGGGACCCGCAAGGGCCUCACGCGAUUGGGUUGGCCGAUGUCCGAUUAGCUAGUUGGUGAGGUAAAGGCUCACCAAGGCGAUGAUCGGUAGCUGGUCUGAGAGGAUGAUCAGCCACACUGGGACUGAGACACGGCCCAGACUCCUACGGGAGGCAGCAGUGGGGAAUUUUGGACAAUGGGGGCAACCCUGAUCCAGCCAUUCCGCGUGAGU